AUUGAACGCUGGCGGCAGGCCUAACACAUGCAAGUCGAACGAGUGGAGGACGGGUGAGUAAUGUAUGGGAAACUGCCUGAUGGAGGGGGAUAACUACUGGAAACGGUAGCUAAUACCGCAUACCAUUGGAUGUGCCCAGAUGGGAUUAGCUAGUAGGUGGGGUAACGGCUCACCUAGGCAACGAUCCCUAGCUGGUUUGAGAGGAUGACCAGCCAACCUGGAACUGAUACACGGUCCCGAGUCAUAUGAGAGGCAGCGGUGGGGUAUGUUGGACAAUGGGAGCAAUCCUGAGGCAGCCAUGCAGCGUGUAGGAAGAAGGCCUUCGGGUUGUAAAGGACUUUCAGCGGUGUAUCGUUAUCCGCAGAAGAAGCACCGGCUAACUCCGUGCCAGCCGCCGCGGUAAUUC
rnacentral:rRNA from 1 species